rnacentral:rRNA from 1 species
AGUGAACGCUGGCGGUAGGCCUAACACAUGCAAGUCGAACGGCAGCACAGUAAGAGCCUGCUCUUACGGGUGGCGAGUGGCGGACGGGUGAGGAAUACAUCGGAAUCUACUUUUUCGUGGGGGAUAACGUAGGGAAACUUACGCUAAUACCGCAUACGACCUACGGGUGAAAGCAGGGGAUCUUCGGACCUUGCGCGAUUGAAUGAGCCGAUGUCGGAUUAGCUAGUUGGCGGGGUAAAGGCCCACCAAGGCGACGAUCCGUAGCUGGUCUGAGAGGAUGGUCAGCCACACUGGAACUGAGACACGGUCCAGACUCCUACGGGAGGCAGCAGUGGGGAAUAUGGGACAAUGGGCGCAAGCCUGAUCCAGCCAUGCCGCGUGGGUGAAGAAGGCCUUCGGGUUGUAAAGCCCUUUUGUGGGGAAAGAAAAGCAGCAGGUUAAUACCCCGCUGUUCUGACGGUACCCAAAGAAUAAGCACCGGCUAACUUCGUG